UUUUAUGGAGAGUUUGAUCCUGGCUCAGGAUGAACGCUGGCGGCGUGCCUAAUACAUGCAAGUCGAGCGAACGGACGAGAAGCUUGCUUCUCUGAUGUUAGCGGCGGACGGGUGAGUAACACGUGGAUAACCUACCUAUAAGACUGGGAUAACUUCGGGAAACCGGAGCUAAUACCGGAUAAUAUUUUGAACCGCAUGGUUCAAAAGUAAAAGACGGUCUUGCUGUCACUUAUAGAUGGAUCCGCGCUGCAUUAGCUAGUUGGUAAGGUAACGGCUUACCAAGGCAACGAUGCAUAGCCGACCUGAGAGGGUGAUCGGCCACACUGGAACUGAGACACGGUCCAGACUCCUACGGGAGGCAGCAGUAGGGAAUCUUCCGCAAUGGGCGAAAGCCUGACGGAGCAACGCCGCGUGAGUGAUGAAGGUCUUCGGAUCGUAAAACUCUGUUAUUAGGGAAGAACAUAUGUGUAAGUAACUGUGCACAUCUUGACGGUACCUAAUCAGAAAGCCACGGCUAACUACGUGCCAGCAGCCGCGGUAAUACGUAGGUGGCAAGCGU
rnacentral:rRNA from 1 species